rnacentral:rRNA from 1 species
AGAGUUUGAUCAUGGCUCAGAUUGAACGCUGGCGGCAGGCCUAACACAUGCAAGUCGAACGGUAACAGGAAGAAGCUUGCUUCUUUGCUGACGAGUGGCGGACGGGUGAGUAAUGUCUGGGAAACUGCCUGAUGGAGGGGGAUAACUACUGGAAACGGUAGCUAAUACCGCAUAACGUCGCAAGACCAAAGAGGGGGACCUUCGGGCCUCUUGCCAUCGGAUGUGCCCAGAUGGGAUUAGCUAGUAGGUGGGGUAACGGCUCACCUAGGCGACGAUCCCUAGCUGGUCUGAGAGGAUGACCAGCCACACUGGAACUGAGACACGGUCCAGACUCCUACGGGAGGCAGCAGUGGGGAAUAUUGCACAAUGGGCGCAAGCCUGAUGCAGCCAUGCCGCGUGUAUGAAGAAGGCCUUCGGGUUGUAAAGUACUUUCAGCGGGGAGGAAGGGAGUAAAGUUAAUACCUUUGCUCAUUGACGUUACCCGCAGAAGAAGCACCGGCUAACUCCGUGCCAGCAGCCGCGGUAAUACGGAGGGUGCAAGCGUUAAUCGGAAUUACUGGGCGUAAAGCGCACGCAGGCGGUUUGUUAAGUCAGAUGUGAAAUCCCCGGGCUCAACCUGGGAACUGCAUCUGAUACUGGCAAGCUUGAGUCUCGUAGAGGGGGGUAGAAUUCCAGGUGUAGCGGUGAAAUGCGUAGAGAUCUGGAGGAAUACCGGUGGCGAAGGCGGCCCCCUGGACGAAGACUGACGCUCAGGUGCGAAAGCGUGGGGAGCAAACAGGAUUAGAUACCCUGGUAGUCCACGCCGUAAACGAUGUCGACUUGGAGGUUGUGCCCUUGAGGCGUGGCUUCCGGAGCUAACGCGUUAAGUCGACCGCCUGGGGAGUACGGCCGCAAGGUUAAAACUCAAAUGAAUUGACGGGGGCCCGCACAAGCGGUGGAGCAUGUGGUUUAAUUCGAUGCAACGCGAAGAACCUUACCUGGUCUUGACAUCCACAGAACUUUCCAGAGAUGGAUUGGUGCCUUCGGGAACUGUGAGACAGGUGCUGCAUGGCUGUCGUCAGCUCGUGUUGUGAAAUGUUGGGUUAAGUCCCGCAACGAGCGCAACCCUUAUCUUUUGUUGCCAGCGGUCCGGCCGGGAACUCAAAGGAGACUGCCAGUGAUAAACUGGAGGAAGGUGGGGAUGACGUCAAGUCAUCAUGCCCCUUACGACCAGGGCUACACACGUGCUACAAUGGCGCAUACAAAGAGAAGCGACCUCGCGAGAGCAAGCGGACCUCAUAAAGUGCGUCGUAGUCCGGAUUGGAGUCUGCAACUCGACUCCAUGAAGUCGGAAUCGCUAGUAAUCGUGGAUCAGAAUGCCACGGUGAAUACGUUCCCGGGCCUUGUACACACCGCCCGUCACACCAUGGGAGUGGGUUGCAAAAGAAGUAGGUAGCUUAACCUUCGGGAGGGCGCUUACCACUUUGUGAUUCGUGACUGGGGUGAAGUCGUAACAAGGUAACCGUAGGGGAACCUGCGGUUG